AAAUACCCCUAAAUAGACCCCAAUGCACAAACGAACAAUAAAUUGCUCAUCUAGACAUAUAAGUCUAACAUUCUAUGAAACCCUAAGUUAAUCUGACAAGCGAUUUGGAGAAACGCUGCGGACAAGUUCAUUUUUAAAGUGGCGGAAGAAGAGGAAGAAGGAGAAGAAGAAGAGGAAGAAGAAGAAUAAUAAAAAUAAUAAGAACUGAGCAAAAACAAUAAGUCUCCAAACUUUGUUUGGGAGACUUAAUAAUCACAAAAUGCGCGCAAAUGAAAUGCGUCCGCAUAACUUUCACUUACGGAAAAGCGAUUUAUGUUGUACAAACGGGUAUCAUUAUUUGCGAAAGAGUCGUUAGCAAAAUACGACGACUGGGGAAAAAAAAUCCCGUUUACUUCGUGAAUAUUGUGAAAUUUGCGCUAAAACAGCUUUUACUUUUUUUUAGUGUGCCCUUUUAUACUAGUAUGCGGCA
rnacentral:lncRNA from 1 species